rnacentral:tRNA from 1 species
GCCGAAGUGGCGGAAUUGGCAGACGCACUUGACUCAAAAUCAAGCGUGCCUAGCACGUGCCAGUUCGAGUCCGGCCUUCGGCACCA